rnacentral:rRNA from 1 species
ACGCUCGACACCUACGGAGGCAGCAGUGAGGAAUAUUGGUCAAUGGGCGCUAGCCUGAACCAGCCAAGUAGCGUGAAGGAUGAAGGCUCUAUGGGUCGUAAACUUCUUUUAUAUAAGAAUAAAGUGCAGUAUGUAUACUGUUUUGUAUGUAUUAUAUGAAUAAGGAUCGGCUAACUCCGCGCCAGCAGCCGCGGUAAUCUGAGCGGGCUGGCAAGGC